GACGAACGCUGGCGGCGUGCCUAAUACAUGUAAGUCGAGCGAAGCGGCGGAUGGGUGAGUCACGCGUCGGUAACCUGCCCUUAAGUCUGGGAUACCAUUCGGAAACAGAUGCUAAUACCGAGUACUAAAGGACGGACCUGCGAUGCAUUAGCUAGUUGGUAAGGUAACGGCUUACCAAGGCGAUGAUGCAUAGCCGAGUUGAGAGGCGGAUCGGCCACAUUGGGACUGAGACACGGCCCAAACUCCUACGGGAGGCAGCAGUAGGGAAUCUUCCACAAUGGACGAAAGUCUGAUCGAGCAACGCCGCGUGAGUGAAGAAGGUUUUCGGAUCGUAAAGCUCUGUUGUUAGUGAAGCGGUAAUCAACCAGAAAGUCACGGCUAACUACGUGCCAGCAGCCGCGGUAAUUC
rnacentral:rRNA from 1 species